GGGGGAGCACCAGAUCCUGGGCUGUGUCGGUGGCGCCCUGCGCUCCCGGGCCUGCGCUGUUGGAUUCGCGCAGCCCCUUCUGCGCAGAGCCCCU
rnacentral:pre_miRNA from 1 species